GGCGCGAAUUGUCUGCUUCGCCAGCGCUUCGCAAGUGGGGGCUAGUGCUCAUUUUUAUUUCGCCUCAGUCUAAUAUGCCUUAACUUAACCGGCACAGUGAGGUCGCCUUAAAAGCUUGUCUGUGACGUGUUUUUACUUAUUUUGCCUUUGUAAUCCUCCGAUCGAUCCCUGUGACGGCUUUCGCCAUGAGACUUGCUGCAUGGUUGGUAGCAAGUAUCGCUGAUUCCAUUGCUAGAAAGUUUAUUUGAACGUCCCCCCUCCCCCCGUCGCUGCCAUCACUUUGUUUUUUAAGUUUCAGCUGGCACUGACUCCACACUCCAUGCGCGCAUAUCGCUGUGGCCAGGUGCGACUGUGAUUGUGCUUGUUUGAUCACAUUUGGGGGCAAGGAACUACAACUGAUCCGUCUUCGCUACGCGUGUUGAAUACCUGGCGUUGAAAGAAAAUACAUUUGCCGUUGACUCGAUGGAAGAUGAUGGCGAUGCGGACAUUUAUUCUGGCCUUGGCGAAUACUGUUCGGAAAGCACAUCCGAUGCCCCCGACUCGCACGUGGCGUCUGCUGCCAAAUUGGAUCUGUUGGACGCAUCUGUGCUACCGAAACAACUCUCGCCUGUAAAGAGCGAAAACCGGUUACAAGGAAGCGCCACUGGCACGUAUUUCGACCACGCCAGGUCAUCUUCCGUGAGUGAUGGCACUGAAGACAACCCAUCGGCUGUAGUUGCCGAGAGUGCAUCGUUGGUCCCUUUCUGGGUCACCAAGUCAGCCUAACCCAGCUCAAAAAGACCACAUUACGAAGACUGUCCGCCUGCACCUCGACCAGCGGCAAGUUUGGUUGCACAUAAUGUCAAGCCCGAUGCUUCUGCAGCGUCGGCUGGUGCACAAAGAACUAUGGCUGCAUUGAAAAGAGAGAAUGAGGUGCUGAGGCAUAAUAUUUCUGUCCUGUUUAGGACAGCAAAACACCUUAUGGACUCAAAGGACAAAGAAAUUGUAAAUUUGAAACGAAGGUUAGACAACCUUGUGUUUAAAAGGAACCAAAGGCCUCAAAACUCACCACAUGCUACUGCAAGCAAAGGUUCACAACAGCAGUACGAUUCGUCAGCAGCCAUGAGUGCACAAAGCACUUACGAUUAUACUCCUCAACACUCUUCCUGUGGUCCAAACCAGCCAUUACAAAACUCACCGCUUGAUACUAAAGCCGCGAGAGAUACACGACAUCGUAUCAAGUGCGAAGUGAACCAUCACGGGACUCGCCUAGAACGCCCACUGCAGAAACCUCCCGUAACUCUCCCUUUCAAGAGCGCACUCGUCAGUCCACAGCCAACAAUGCCAACUAAAGCAAAGGCUGAUAUGUCCGUGGACUUGCAGCGACUUUAUCAGUACAACAGCGUAAGGCCUCGGGACAGGACUGAGUUCAGCCGGGUUCCUGCAUUGGCAGUCACACCAAAGAAAAAUGAAAGUGUUUCAAAAAGAGGAGUGGUCACCCCGUACAAAGUCUGCAGCACAAAUAAAUGCAAGAAGGCUAGUCAAAAAUAGCAUUAGGAAUGUAAUUGGCUCUCCUUCCAAGCAACCAAGAAGGCUUGAAGCAUACAGUAGGACUGGUUUCUCACCAUUGAAAAAGAGAAGAGCGUCUGAACUAACUGCAUUUGCUGAAAGGCCUGCCAGGGCAGCACAACACAAUGAAAAAGGGAUGCUUUGAGAUCAGACAUGCCACUGGAGCACUGGGAGUGGGAGCCACGUGUGAAAGAGCCAAGGACGCCACCAUACACAGGCAGCAACAUUUAUGAAAAACUGUGCAAUCCGCAUCAAGGCUGGCCUGAGGAGUCUGUUGAUAAGCAUUAUGAUUCUCCCCAACUCAGCCAUAAAAAUGAACCUAAGGGACCGCGAACAUCACCUCUAGACGAAACAGAACUAGAGGCUGGAGAGAUCCCUGAUACUCCGCCAAAAAGCAAGGAAGGUUGUUAAAGGACCACACACACCACCUGAGGAAUAUCCAGGGGAUAGCACUCUCGAGAAAACACCACCUCUUGAGGGUGAAGUAGCCACUCAAAGGAGACAAACUAAAGCUGAAAAUGAGCGAACAGAAUCGCCUGCAAUGAAGUCUGAUGUUGCUAAGAUUAGCGGGCCAUCCAAGAACGUGGUGCCUGUAAGGUACCCUGGUGGUAGAUUAUCAUCACCAUUCAGCGAGACUACGGUUGGGUUGAGCAAACGUUUGGAACAACUCCAACCUAGGGAACGUUUGGGAAUCAAGUGCAGGAAAUCUCCCAGUGGACCAGGGUGCAGGCAAGCGAGCGCUUGAGAGCAGAACUACUGUAGACAAGCCUCUUAAACAUAGCUCUCUUGGACAUGGCCUAGCAGUUGAAAACAGGAGAUAUCGUAGUCCGAGAGACUUUGGCAACCUGCCCGCAAAACGGCGUAGAUCUCGUUCUCGAUCGCUCUCGACCUCACCUCCGCCACGGCCGCACUCUCCAAGGCCACACUCUCAGUCUCACAGGAUGCAUGACCACCUUGGGCAUCACAUUGAAAGAUACAGAAUUCCGAGCCAUCAUCGCCGUAGCCCCGAGCAUAGAAGUACGCAUCACCGCUUGCGAGAGCGUUAUUCUCCAGUGCUUCGACGUCAUUAUAGAACUGAUAGGUAUUCGCCAUCUCCACCUCGACUCGGAAAGACAUCUCGAAGACAGCCUUCACCUGGUAGGAGACCAAAGAGUCCUUUGGUCCGAAAUAAAACCACCAAAGAAGCACUGCUGAAGCAACCGGCUAAGAAGCCACUUAAAAAGAUAUCAGCUAAACCUGGUAGCACUGUGUUGGUGCAAGAGAAUGAGAAUGCUUGUGGUGGGUGCCAGCAGCCACAAGUCCCGAGAUCGCUUGAUGAGAACAAAGUUUCGUGUUCGCUAGAAAGUGAAACACCAAGGACAGAUGGUGGUGUUGAUGUUAGCAAGGAGACUAAAGAGCUGGGUGAAGUGGCAGCUGUGAGUGAUUGUGCUGAUGGCUUAGAAAAGCACACUGUCGUAUAGCUAUCUCUCCUGUCCUAAUUGAAAGAAAUGAUCUUGCUGAUAUGAACUUGUGUAUCUUAGACCAAGCCAUAAUUUUGCUGGUUCACUAAAGGGUUGUGCAGAGUGUGAAUGCAAACAGUAUUUCACAGUCGUUCAAGGAAGUUUUUGUUCAGGCGCUGUUGAUUUUUGUAUUGCAUAGUUUCCCAUGUAAUAGAGCCCUUUUACAAUAUGGAGUAGCCGAGGCAAUAGGCUCCUCAACCUCUCCACAGCAAAACAGUUAAAACAGCCCUUUUGCAAUGUUUUUUGUUAUGCAAAAAAGAUCAUGGAAUAUUCCCUCAAACGUACUAUAAUGAAGCAGACGAAAUGGGAGAUAUUCACAUGUAUAUGUAUAUAAAUAAACAAAUUGAUAAUAAUAUGCAACGCCAUUGCUUAAAUAAUGAAGACUGGGCAGCGCUGCAGCACGAGUCUUCUGAUUGGAAGGCCAGCGCAAUAUUGCUUAUAGUGUUUGUUUCGAAGGUCGAGAGUUUUGAAUGAACAGCGAGGAUUGGAAAUGAUGUCAUGGCUCGAAAUAUUCUGUACUUGUGCUAUCGAAAAGAUCAUUGCAGUCUUUAUUCGGAUGUUAUCUGCUAAAAUUGUGUUCUGGUGCACUGUAUAUGCGACAUGGUGUGGUUGCCUGGUUGUCUAUUGCAAUUCGAACACAGCUCAAUUAUUCACUUCUUGAAGUGUGGAAAAUAGCUCAAAAACACAAUAACAAAUGAAAUUGCCACAUCACUUAUCUUUGCUCCCUCACUGGUGAAUUUUACAGCUCUCAACAGCAUUCCAAUUUCAGUGGUGUAGUUGCUUUCCCUCACAGCUAUCGUGAACAUUUAGUAGAAGAAGAAGAAAGCAGGGUUCAAGCCAGAUUUGAACCCCUAGCCUUCUGAGUGGCAAGCGGUUUAUCAUAUAGGGACGCCAGUGCCUUGAAUCUUUUUUUGGAAAAAGAGCCUGCACAAGCAAGCAUUUAGUCCGGUGUAAGAUCAUGUUUCAUAGAUGUAUUGUGUGGCCGCAUCGCACCAGGUGUUGCACUAUGUCAAUUGCGAAUGAGUGGGUAGUUUACACAAGUACUGACACAAAUUUUAAUAAUUUUUUACAAUGUUGCUUUGAAUAAAAGUACUGGUUUCAAGAA
rnacentral:lncRNA from 1 species